AGAGUUUGAUCCUGGCUCAGAUUGAACGCUGGCGGCAUGCCUAACACAUGCAAGUCGAACGGAAACGAUGGGAGCUUGCUCCCAGGCGUCGAGUGGCGGACGGGUGAGUAAUACAUAGGAAUCUGCCCAGUAGCGGGGGACAACCUGGUGAAAACCAGGCUAAUACCGCAUACGACCUACGGGUGAAAGCAGGGGAUCUUCGGACCUUGCACUACUGGAUGAGCCUAUGUCAGAUUAGCUAGUUGGUGGGGUAAUGGCCUACCAAGGCGACGAUCUGUAGCUGGUCUGAGAGGACGAUCAGCCACACUGGGACUGAGACACGGCCCAGACUCCUACGGGAGGCAGCAGUGGGGAAUAUUGCACAAUGGGCGAAAGCCUGAUGCAGCAAUGCCGCGUGUGUGAAGAAGGCCUGCGGGUUGUAAAGCACUUUCAGUGGGGAGGAAACAGUUGCGGGUUAAUAACCCGUGGCCUUGACGUUACCCACAGAAGAAGCACCGGCUAACCCUGUGCCAGCAGCCGCGGUAAUACAGAGGGUGCGAGCGUUAAUCGGAAUUACUGGGCGUAAAGCGCGCGUAGGCGGCUUGGUCAGUCGGAUGUGAAAGCCCCGGGCUUAACCUGGGAAUUGCAUUCGAUACUG
rnacentral:rRNA from 1 species